UAGGAAUAUCAUAUCAAAUUGUUAUUACUAUGGACAAUGUAAUUAAUUUUUCUUAAAGAAACUAGAAACAUUAAGGAGACAUUGGUGUGGCUUGUAUUUUACCGAAGAGAAACGUUUGGGUGUUUUUUUAAGUGAAAUAUACAUAUGUCAAAAGUUACGUAUACAAAAUAAUUGCAGUUAAAGGCUUGCUCAUAGCCUUUUGAGACGAAGAAGAUAAUUAUACCUAUAAUGAUAAAUCUGUCAUCAUCAUUUCUAUAUUCCAUAGUAAAACUAUUCCGGUCAGGUAAGAAAGUCAGCAAAAACUCGAUAGUAACAAAAUCAUGGACGUCUUUAGCGCAAUAGCGGAAAUAUAAUCUGGUUCGUUAGAGUUGAUGUAAGCGAACAUACUCAUUUAAUAUUAACACCGCAUGGUAAGAGCCAAUGGUAAGACAAGUUUGUAAAAGGGAACAGAAGUUACUGAGUAAUCGAGAUUUCAGGUCGUGUAAAGAUAGUAAAGAUUUAAGGAAAACGCUUUACACUACUUUCCCGUGAACUAAAACGGCUGGUUCCUGAAGGGACUUCGUUCUUCUGCAAUGGCAAAGUGUUGCUAGAAGCACCUGGCAUUUUAAAUUUAGAAGUCUUUACAUCCAUCACAGCUAUGUAAAGAUGAAUAUGUCCUUGAUUUCAUACAAACAGAUAAUAAAAUAUUGUUUGUCAUAUUUAGAGCCAUCUUUUGGUUACAUUUUAAACUUGUUGUAUUUAAAUAGUUCAGUGAUUUACGAAUAGAUGGCGCUGUUAAAGCUAUUCUUAUUUUGUUAUUAAUAUCAGUGUUUUAUAUUGAGUUGAUAAUAAAGUCAAAGUAAAUAAAAGACAUUUUUA